GACGAACGCUGGCGGCGUGCUUAACACAUGCAAGUCGAACGGAAAGGCCCUGCUUUUGUGGGGUGCUCGAGUGGCGAACGGGUGAGUAACACGUGAGUAACCUGCCCUUGACUUUGGGAUAACUUCAGGAAACUGGGGCUAAUACCGGAUAGGAGCUCCUGCUGCAUGGUGGGGGUUGGAAAGUUUCGGCGGUAGGGGAUGGACUCGCGGCUUAUCAGCUUGUUGGUGGGGUAGUGGCUUACCAAGGCUUUGACGGGUAGCCGGCCUGAGAGGGUGACCGGCCACAUUGGGACUGAGGUACGGCCCAGACUCCUACGGGAGGCAGCAGUGGGGAAUAUUGCACAAUGGGCGGAAGCCUGAUGCAGCAACGCCGCGUGCGGGAUGACGGCCUUCGGGUUGUAAACCGCUUUCGCCUGUGACGAAGCGUGAGUGACGGUAAUGGGUAAAGAAGCACCGGCUAACUACGUG
rnacentral:rRNA from 1 species